GGCUCAUUGGGGUACCGGCUAACCUUCCCCACUGUCUCUGGGGAGAAACGGGUUCAAUUCCCGUAUGAGCCG
rnacentral:tRNA from 1 species